GGGAAGCACUGUUUUGCUCCUUUCCCAACACUGAGGUUCUGACAACAGGCGGGUCUGAGGCAACGAGUGUUACUGGGAAGAGAGCAGAGGAGGGAAGCCUGGUAGUGGGAGAACGAAGAGCUCAUUCCCGCUGGUCAUUGAGGUUUAAAGAGAGAAUUCAAUUCACCAAUAAAGGAUUACAACUCAGAAGGCAUUUUGAAAGCCUUGCACUCAUUGCCUACUGCUAUAUUUAUAGAGGUUCUCACUCCUAAAGAUGCAACAGUAAGAUGCAGAAGAAGGAAAGAGCUGAGAGAAAUUCACCAAUCAGUGGCUACUCUUCAUCUCUCAAUGAACUUUUAUCAAAAAGGACAAAUUUUAAAAGAAACAUAUAAUAAAAGAAGGGUAUCACUCAUCAAAAUAUUCUUGAAAUUUAUAAUAAGGAAAAAUAUUUAAAAUUUCAAAAAAAUUUUAGCAUGUUUUAAAAAUUUUUUAAUCUGCUUUUUUAAUUGGAAGAUAAUUGCUUUAUAAUGUUGUAUU